rnacentral:lncRNA from 1 species
UUACUCUCUCUAUCUCCAAGUUUUCUCAUCUGGUACAUCAAGAUGGAAAUUGUUGGAACUUAGUGCAUCGACCGUCACAAGGAAGUUUAUGAUAUCACUUAGGGAGACGUUGACAUCUUUGCUUUUGUCUCCUCUGAUGGCUCCUGUAACACCCUGCACCUGCGCACUUCAUGUGGUAUUAAGACUCCAUUUUAUUCGGGUCUUUGGCUAUUAAAUUUUUGUGGUGUAAUAUUAUUUUAUUUUAAUUUUUGUUAUUUUUUCUUAUUUUCGAAUAUUGUUAGAAAUUUUAUUAUAUUAUUUUAAUUUAUUUAUGUUAUGAAAGAAAUUAAAAAGUGUUGAGGAUUCCAAGAAAAUCCCUUAAAAAUGCCUUAAAUGAGAAUUAGGAAGGGAAAAGGGAGAGGAUAAUGUCACGGAAAAGCCAGCCCACGCAGGACGCCCACACGCCCAUCGACUAGGGCACCCAUGUCGCACCCAGUUUGUGGGCGAAUCCCGUGUGCAGACACAAACGUCGAGCACACUUCCCAGUGCGCACCUGUGUGAUGUGACAGUAAAGGAUGGCUUGCAUGCGCACGGAUCCCACCCAAUGAGCACAUCAGCGCGUUGUUCGGGCACAUCAGUGCGUGCACAGAAACCUCCGACCUACUUGCGCCAGUAUGUGGACUAGGUGCGCAGAAUAACCUGUGUGCACGCCAGGCUUAGCUUGCCGCGCAGCAGACUUGGAUGAUUCAAUGAUGAUGUCAUCAUUUUCUCUCUCUUCAUGGAUUUGUGACACUUAUUGCAAAUUCGACGAUCUUCUUUUUCUAUAAAUAAGGACCUUUUCCACCCUUCUUGACAUGGCAUCGGUAAUUAGUAAGGGAUUCAUUAUUUUCUUGCACAUUUUAAGAGAUAUUUCUAAAAAUAUAUAAAAAGUGAAUAUUGAUUUUAUUGCAUGACUUGUGGUAUGAUUUUGAGGGUUUGAUGAGUUAUUUAUUAUACAUGCAUUGU